ensembl:lncRNA novel transcript
CCUUAUAAAGCUGCUUGGCUGGUGUGGUGGCUCAUGCCUGUAAUCCCAGCACUUUGGGAGGUUGAGGUGGGAGGGUUGCUUGAGGUCAGGAGUUCAAAACCAGCCUUGGCAAUAUUGCAAGACCCCUGUCUCUACAAAAAAUAAAAUAAAAAUUAGCUGGGCAUGUGGGUGAAUACCUGUAGUGCUAGCUACUUGGGAGGAUCUCUUGAGCACAGGAGUUUGAGGCUGCAGUGUACUGUAACUAUACCACUGCACUCUAGUUGAGAUGACAGAGGGAGACCCUGUUUCUUAAAAAAGAAAAGAAAAAGCUGCCUUUGGAAACUAAUCCUACUUUUCUGACCUCUUCUGAUAGGUCUACUGUAAAAAACCAAAGUCAACUUUGAAUAAACUUGACAAGCUGAAGGAGAA